rnacentral:tRNA from 1 species
CGGAAUAUAGCUUAAUAAAAGCAUCUCGCUUACACCGAAAAGAUAUCUGCUAACACCA